AAACCAUGACAGGGACACUGUCUUUGUAAAUCUUUAAACCUUUCCAAAACUUCAUAUAAGGACUCAUCAUCCCUUUGGUAAAAAUUAGCGAUCUUAUUUCUCAAUUA